rnacentral:rRNA from 1 species
UACGUAGGGGGCUAGCGUUGUCCGGAAUUAUUGGGCGUAAAGAGCGUGUAGGCGGUUCGAUAAGUCUGCUGUAAAAGUCGGGGCUCAACCCUCGAAAGCCGGUAGAUACUGUCGAGCUAGAGUACGGAAGAGGCGAGUGGAAUUCCUGGUGUAGCGGUGAAAUGCGCAGAUAUCAGGAGGAACACCAAUUGCGAAGGCAGCUCGCUGGGACGUUACUGACGCUGAGACGCGAAAGCGUUGGGGAGCAAACAGG